rnacentral:ncRNA from 1 species
GCCGAGAGUAGAAGCGUUCAGUUGGCCAUCCUGCCGUGGGUGGUGCCAGCGGGUCAUUGCUCUUGAA